rnacentral:rRNA from 1 species
AUGAGAUGCCUAAGUUGGAACUGCCGGGGGCUUGGGAACACCGAGGCAGUCCGAGAGCUUCACAAUUUUGUGAAGCAAGAAGGACCCGCGCUGCUCUUUGUUAUGGAGACGAAGAUCAGGGCAAAGAGGGUGGAAAGUUUGCAGUCUAAUCUAGGGUUUGCGGGGUGUUUUGCGGUGGAUAGUUCAAGACUAAGUGGUGGUAUAGGCCUGUUUUGGUCACAAGAGGUUAAUGUUGAGCUGAAAAAUUUCAGUCCCAGCCAUAUUGAUGUCAUGGUUAGGGAAGUUGACUUGAUUGCUCGGGAGUGGAGAUUGACAGGGUUCUACGGUGCACCAAGAAAUGAAGAUAGGCACCAUAGCUGGAGAUGUCUAAGGGCAUUGCAUGCGAUCCCACAUCAAGCUUGGUUGUGCCUAGGAGAUUUUAAUGAGACCUUGUACAGUACAGAACAUUUCAGUAGGGCUGCAAGACCGGAAUGGCAGAUACGUGCGUUUCGGGAAACCGUGGAGGACUGCUCUUUGCAAGAUCUUGGUUACACAGGGUUACCCUAUACUUGGGAUAACAGGCAGGCGGGCAACAUGAAUGUUAAAGCCCGUCUUGACAGAGGUUUGGCGAACGAAACGUUCUUACAAAUGUUUGACCAUGUGCACGUUCGUCACAUUAGCAUGGUGGAAUCAUACCACUGUUUUGUUGGGGAGCGUAGUAAUUUCAAAAAAAUUCUACGCACACGCAAGAUCAUGGUGAUGCAUAGCAACGAGAGGGGAGAGUGUUGUCUACGUACCCUCGUAGACUGA